GGAAGGGAGAAAAGAGAAGAAGAAGAAGAAGAAGAAGAAGAAGAAGGGAGGAGCAAGGAUUUUCCUACCAAGUAAGGAGUAGAACCAAGAGGUGAUGAGACACGGUGCAAGGCCAUCGGCGGUCCAUCAUCACUUAGGACUCGAGAUGAUGAUGCAGGUACCGUGGUGCCUAUGGUGUAUGACCCAGUAUCUUCUGGGUCAGAGUAUGGUGUGAGUGACUGGUGGAUGCCAGAAGUGAGGGAGCACGAUCAAGACUGUGCUUGCAACCACUAUGCUUACGCCACGCCGUGAGA